NNNGAUACAGAGAAGAUUAGCAUGGCCCCUGCGCAAGGAUGAAUAAAAGAUAGAUAUUAAAUGUUGUU
rnacentral:snRNA from 1 species